rnacentral:tRNA from 1 species
GCCCCGGUGGCUUAGUUUGGUAAAGCGACGGUCUUGUAAACCGUAGAUCGCGGGUUCAAAUCCCGCCCGGGGCU